rnacentral:rRNA from 1 species
ACGUAGGGUGCGGGCGUUAAUCGGAAUUACUGGGCGUAAAGCGCGCGUAGGUGGUUCAGCAAGUUGGAGGUGAAAUCCCCGGGCUCAACCUGGGAACUGCCUCCAAAACUACUGAGCUAGAGUACGGUAGAGGGUAGUGGAAUUUCCUGUGUAGCGGUGAAAUGCGUAGAUAUAGGAAGGAACACCAGUGGCGAAGGCGGUCUGCUGGGCCGUUGCUGACGCUGAGGCGCGACAGCGUGGGGAGCAAACAGGA